CCCCCCCACAAAGGUACAUGUGAGCCAUCACCCCAGACCUGAAGGUGAAGUCACCCUGAGGUGCUGGGCCCUGGACUGCUUCCCUGCUGACGUCAUGCUGACCUGGCAGAGGGAUGAGGAGGACCUGACCCAGGUCAUGGACCUUGUGGAGACCAGGCCUGCUGGGGAUGGAACCUUCCAGAAGUGGGCAGCUCUGGUGGUACCUUCUGGGAGGAGCAGAAAUAUACGUGCUGUGUGGAGCAUGAGGGACUGCCUGAGCAUCUCACCCUGAGAUGGGAACCCCCACCUCCUUGGCCUGUGGUUGGAAUAACUGUUGGUGUAGUUCUCCUUGGGGUUAUCAUCAUUGGAGCACUGAUUGCCAUUGUGAAGACGAGGAAGAAGAGAGCAGGUAGGGAAGGGAUUGUAUCUGAGGGUUUACAUAGAUUUGAAGCCCUACAUGGAAAUGUGUUCAUUGCUCAUUUUAUUACAUUGAGACUCAUCUAUGUAUAAGUGCUUACCCAACCCAGGACUCUGUAUAGCACCUUU
rnacentral:lncRNA from 1 species